UUACGGCCAUAUCACGUUGAAACAAUGGCUCCCUUACGAUCAUCAAAAUUAAGCAACGUCGAGCCUGGUCAGUCCCUAGAUGGGUGACCCCAUGGGAAUACCGGGUGCUGUAAG